AUGAGGAUGACCAACACUGGGCAAGCUGAAAAUAUCUUACUCCAGAAACAACUCUUAGGUGCCAGGAACUCCAAAGCUGAGCAUCACAUGAAAUCUGCUGUGUGCUCCAAGGACCAGAAACAGACUCUGGGUUCACUGCAUCUAGGGAUCCCAUCUGCACCCUGAGCAGUCAAGAGGGCCAAGUCCUUACCAUCAGAGUGCUGAGAGGAGGGUGGAGAGAGUGCCCUCAUUUCCCAACCUUUGACAGACUCCUUUCUGGACACUUCAUUCAUUCUACUACGGGUGCUUCCUGAUUCUGAUCCAAACCCAAUUAGGUUUGGGCUUGGAGAAAACGUUGAAGCCAUGGAUCUUCUUCAGCAACUUUCAGCCAGCAGCUCUACCAGGAAGCCUCCAAGCCUCUUAAAUAGAAGUGUAUGUUAAUACCCUUUGUACAGCCAGAAGCUGCCCCAGCUUUGCUUUGCCGAAGUCUGUGGGUGUCUUUGAUCUCCAAAUGGCUUCCAGAUCUUCUGUGAGUGCUGUGAGUGGCAGCAUUCAACCAGAAAUGCCUGUGGCUGCAUGGACAGAAAUAGCUCUAGAGGCUUAGUAGCGGCUGCUCUCCCUGAUUCUGACCACUGUUUGCCCUCUGGCUCUAGAAAACCCAGUGCUGGUGGGCAGAGAUACUAGCUUGAGUCCUGGACCACCUCUGGAUUCUGACACAUCUGUGAACAUUGAACAGACUCCUAGGCAAGACCCACCAUGGAUCUAUUUGCUUGAGGGUCUGAGAGGACCCCUGGGAAAGCAGACAGAUGUGCUUUACCAGAAAUGAAGUCCCAGUGUCCAAAGGGACUGGGGUUUAUGAGUACAGCUUCAUGUCUAUAAUUUGGAUGCUCUCCCUGUGAAGAGGAAUUCUACAAGUAGUGAAACAAAACAAAACUGAAAGAUCUGUUUAUACUAAAAAUUGCUUUGGUAAGCCUCUGACAAACUAUAAAGCACAGGGGAGGGAGGCAUUCCUCCCACAGUGGGAACACAGAGGGGAAGGCUGUGUUCAAAAUCCUAAUAUUAAAGCUCUAAAUACUGGACCUAAACUUGAAAUCUAAUAUUAUGUACUGCCUUAAUACCAGGCAAAAUCAGGAGUAGUUGCUGCCUAAGCAUUUGAGUCUAAAGGUCUAUUUGGGAUUUACUUACUUGAGUCUUUUCAAAGCUCCUGGUAGUUCCAAGGUCUGGAGUGACACUAUAUAAAUUAUUAACUAGAUA
rnacentral:lncRNA from 1 species